UACGAAGGGGGCUAGCGUUGCUCGGAAUCACUGGGCGUAAAGCGCACGUAGGCGGAUUGUUAAGUCAGGGGUGAAAUCCUGGAGCUCAACUCCAGAACUGCCUUUGAUACUGGCGAUCUCGAGUCCGGGAGAGGUGAGUGGAACUGCGAGUGUAGAGGUGAAAUUCGUAGAGUAUUCGCAAGAACACCAGUGGCGAAGGCGGCUCACUGGCCCGGUACUGACGCUGAGGUGCGAAAGCCAGGGGAGCGAACGGG
rnacentral:rRNA from 1 species